rnacentral:tRNA from 1 species
AAUGGAUUUCCUCAUUGAA